CUCCUCCCGGCAUUGUCCCGCGGCCGCCGUCGGGCUCUUAAGCCCGGCCGCCCUGGGGCACGGCCGCAGCAGCUCUUCCGCGGCCCUCGCCCGAGCUGCUGGUGCCUUCAUCAGCCAUGUGCCCAGAGCUGGGAUGGAUCCUGCCCUGGAGGCUGGGGAUCCUGGUGGAGCGUGGUCCCAGAUCACUGUGACACACCAGAUUGGUCAACUCCUGUGCCUGAGCAAUGUCAUUGCUGUAAAGCUGGACACUGGAACCCUUCAUCCUCAUGUUUGCAUGGUCUUGAGAGGGGCGUGGAUAAAAGCGUGCAUCCUCUUCGGAACCCACAGUGAUUUUGUCCAAGGAUGUUGGAGCAACAUUGGCACAACCCACCACAUGGUGCUGGCUGGAAGGAGCCGUGCAGGAGCACUGUGAAGAGACUUUCCAGGAAUGUUUCUGCAUGGAAAGCCAACACGUCUGCCUUGCAGGACUGAGGGAAGGAGGAGGGAUGGUGACUUGAUCGGUGAAGUCAGUGUGAGACUUCCCAUUGAUUCCAGCGGGUGCCGACCUCUAUGGGCUGAGACAGCAGCCUCAGCAUUGAGCUUGAACCUCACACAAUGGGACCCUUAUCCACAGUGAGGCCACAAAAUGCUGUUGCAUCCUAAAUAAAUUCAC
ensembl:lncRNA